AGUGAACGCUGGCGGUAGGCCUAACACAUGCAAGUCGAACGGCAGCACAGUAAGAGCUUGCUCUUACGGGUGGCGAGUGGCGGACGGGUGAGGAAUACAUCGGAAUCUACUUUUUCGUGGGGGAUAACGUAGGGACACUUACGCUAAUACCGCAUACGACCUACGGGUGAAAGCAGGGGAUCUUCGGACCUUGCGCGAUUGAAUGAGCCGAUGUCGGAUUAGCUAGUUGGCGGGGUAAAGGCCCACCAAGGCGACGAUCCGUAGCUGGUCUGAGAGGAUGAUCAGCCACACUGGAACUGAGACACGGUCCAGACUCCUACGGGAGGCAGCAGUGGGGAAUAUUGGGCAAUGGGCGAAAGCCUGACCCAGCCAUACCGCGUGGGUGAAGAAGGCCUUCGGGUUGUAAAGCCCUUUUGUUGGGAAAGAAAAGCAGCAGGUUAAUACCCCGCUGUUCUGACGGUACCCAAAGAAUAAGCACCGGCUAACUUCGUG
rnacentral:rRNA from 1 species